rnacentral:rRNA from 1 species
GAUGAACGCUGGCGGCGUGCCUAAUACAUGCAAGUCGAGCGAACAGACGAUGAGCUUGCUCCUCUGACGUUAGCGGCGGACGGGUGAGUAACACGUGGAUAACCUACCUAUAAGUCUGGGAUAACUUCGGGAAUCCGGAGCUAAUACCGGAUAAUAUAUUGAUCCGCAUGGUUGGAUAGUGAAAGUCGGUUUUGCUGUCACUUAUCGAUGGAUCCGCGCCGCAUUGGCUAGUUGGUAAUGUAACGGCCUACUAAGGCAACGAUGCGUAGCCGACGGGAGAGGGUGGUCGCCCACACUGGAGGGUGAACGGCGUCCAUGCUCCUACGGUAGGCCGCAGAAGGGUAUCGUCGGCAAUGGGCGGAAGCCUGACGGAACAGCGCCACGUGAGUGAUGGAGGUCUUCGGAUCGUAAAACUCUGUUAUGAGGGAAGAACAAAUGUGUAAGUAACUAUGCACGUCUUGACGGUACCUAGUAAGAAAGCCCCGGCUAACUACGUG